CUAUUGCCAUGACCCCCUCUGUCCUGGCUUCCCCUCCCCCUCCGAUGGCCAUUGGCGGUGGCCCUGCGCCACGGUGGCAACAUCCAGUGCUCCGCAGGCAGGAGCUGGAGGAGCGCAACCUCCUCAAGCUGUACCAGAGCUGCGAGGAGUGGUCGGAGGAGCACCUCACCCAGAAGCAGGAGGAAGCCUUCCGCAGCUACUUUGAGAUCUUCAACGGCCCUGGCGAGGUGGACGCGCAGAGCCUCAAGAACAUGCUGCUCCUGGUGGGCUUCUCCCUGACGCCGGCCCAGGUGGAGGACGUCCUGAUGAGCGCCGACGU
rnacentral:lncRNA from 1 species